rnacentral:rRNA from 1 species
AGUGAACGCUGGCGGCGUGCUUAACACAUGCAAGUCGAACGAGAACGGGUUAUAGCUUGCUAUAAUUGUCAGCUAAGUGGCGCACGGGUGAGUAAUGUAUAGGUAAUAUGCCUCUUACUAAGGGAUAACAAAUGGAAACGUUUGCUAAUACCUUAUACUCCUUAUUAACAGAAGUUAAUAAGGGAAAGAUUUAUUGGUAAGAGAUUAGCCUGUAUUGUAUCAGUUAGUUGGUGAGGUAAUGGCUUACCAAGACUAUGACACAUAACUGGUUUGAGAGGAUGAUCAGUCACACUAGAACUGAGACACGGUCCAGACCCCUACGGGAGGCAGCAGUGGGGAAUAUUGCACAAUGGACGAAAGUCUGAUGCAGCAACGCCGCGUGGAGGAUGACACAUUUCGGUGCGUAAACUCCUUUUAUAUGAGAAGAUAAUGACGGUAUUAUAUGAAUAAGCACCGGCUAACUCCGUGCCAGCCGCCGCGGUAA